CGGGAUCAUUGUCUUUCUUUGAGAAGAUGUGUCUGAACGAAACCAUGCAGCCAGGCCUUAUCAUUAAACUAUUAAACUAUACGCUCACAUAUGCUCCAAAACAAACUAAUGGGGAUCUUUGACCUACACUGAACAGUGGGAAAAAGAUCUGGGGGAGGAGUUGGUGGGUGUGGAGUGGCAAGAAAUAUGGGAGGCAAACAACUCCGUAUCCAUUUGGGUAUCUUUCCAGGAACAAUCUUUCAAAACAAUGUUAUGGUGGUAUACCACUCCUGUAAAGUUACAUUAGAUGAAAAAGACGCCAACCGAUGUAUGCUGGAGGGGAUGCAGUCUCAGAGGCACGUAUCUCCACAUGUGGUGGGGAUGCGCCCGGGUACAGAUGUUCUGGGGGGGAUACGAGAUAUAUUGCCUCGGGUCUUCCACAAAGCACAAAACAUGGACUCGUGGACAUACCUGCUGAACAGGCCUAUAGAGGGCUGGACUAAAUGGGAACAAAAAUUGAUCCACAAGGUCACAAUAUCUCAGUCAUGGCUCAAGCCAGACAUACCCCCGAUACAGGCCGUACUCAAUAACGUGAAAGAUACAUUUCACAACCUGACAACAACCUGACAGCUAGGGUCCAGGAAAAAAAAUAGAAAAAUGCUGGGAACCAUGGAGCAGCAGUGACCUGGUAGACUGAGGAGGCCGG